AGGUGUGUGUGUGUGUGUGUGUGUACUUUGCUCUCCAUCACCACUGUGGCCCUCUGGGCUCGUCCUAUUUGAACUCCGGGUACACAGGUGGGAGCUGGGCCAUUUCUCUCUGCACAGGUGCCCGGCCACCGAGAGGGCCUUCUGCGUCCAGACAGUCCUCUCCCUCCGUCCUGCAGGGCCCGUGGUCCCAGCAGGGCCAGACGGGCACCUUGCAGGCUGGUGUCUGCACUGAUGGUGUCCCCGCACCUGCAGGCCCCUCACGUAGCUCUGAUUUCAGACACACGCUGGUCACGAAGGACAAGAGCAGGAGCACUUUCCUGGAAGCUUGGCUCUGAUGUGCCAGGAGACGCGGGAACAGAGGCCUGAGCCCUGCACUUGGCGUGGCUUCCCCUCGUACUGAUGGUUCGUGAGAAAGUGACUCCCAGCGACCAGCAGCUGCCGCUCCUGUAGCUGCCUUCAGCUCCCCCCGAGCCCCACCCCAGCCAUCAAGGUGCCGGCGACCCCGGCUUGCUUCUGGGAAGUUCUCUGCCAACACGCUGAUUGGCGUGGACACCAAAGGCCCCCAGCUCUCUCCCCUUUAAAAAAAACUCCAGAAAUAAAAAACCAGGGGGAAAAACGA